AGAGUAUUUUCUUUCUUGUCCAGAUUAGCUAAAUUGGAUUGUUCUAUGCUAAAUUCACUUAAUCACUACUCUAUUAUUUUUGAAUUUUUUAGUUCUGUUUUUUUCACUUGGUUCUUUUUUUAAAAAAACUUCUACUACCUUUCUGAGACUUCUACUUUUUUACUUUUUUCAAGAAGCUUUAUAAUUACUUGCUAAAGCAUUUUUACCAUGACUGUUUUUAACUUCUUCAGAUAACCACAACAUUUGGUUAAUCUUGAGGUUGGCUUGGUUAACUGUCUUUUCUCAUCCUGCUUAUGAUUUUCCUUCUAAUUGUGAUUUUUCCGGUUCUUGAUAGAUGGGUGAUGUUUUAGUUUAUCCUGCAUUUUUUUUUCCUUUUUAAGUUAGAGGAAUCUGAAUCUAUUCAAAUGUUUUAUUUUAGCAGGCAUGUGCCCUGUUUAGGUUUAAUUUGAAUGUCCUGUCCUACUUUUGUAGGCCAUGUUUUCGCAGGCAGUCUUGCUAUCAGAGCUGAGGGGAUGCUGUUUUGAUCACUUAGUUUAUCUGAUGUUGCUGGGCCUCCAACUGGUGCUGACUGGUACUUCCUGAGAUGGCGAAGGUUUUUCUGUACUCUGAGAUGCCGUGUAUCUCUAUGUAAGGGGAGGAGACUCUGGACCACAGGAAUGAAGAGAACAUCUUAGGUCAGGCAGCUCAAUCAUAUGCGAUAACCUGGGUCAACCAGCCAGUAGCCUCAUGAAGUAUGGGAGGGAAUUCUCCAGUGUCAGCAUUCAAAGACAUCAUGAGUUUUUACUUCUCAUUUUCUUUUAAGUGAAAUAAUCGCAUGGAAAUUAAAGAAUAAAUAUAUGAAAUAUAUGAAACUUAUAUGAAAUAUAAGAAUGUGAGAAGGCCUACAGCGUGGGGAUCCCCAGGCUAUUUGAACAAUGAAUGUCUGUGUUACACAUCUUUGCUCACUUUUUCUCUAUUUUUGUAGUUCAUUGUGGAACCAGCACAGAUUUUCAUACGAAAGUUAUUUCUUUUUAACCUCAAAAAGUGACAGAAUGGAGUGUAUCAUGAAAAAGUCUGACAUCAAAACCUCAAAAUGUGAUAUUGAUUGGGUGAGAUAGAAUUCCAUGGAAUUUCAUUGCCAAACCAGUGAAGUGCUAAUUUUGACAUUUGUACCAGCUAACGUAGCUGUGAAGAAACACACCAAUACACUUCUAAGGACAGCAUAGACCAAGAUCUAGGUUUCAUAUGGAUGAAUUUAUUCUUCCCUUUGAGGCAAGACAAGAAGGAAAGAAAGUAUUGGGAAUAAUGCUGCCCUCCCAUCCUCAAGGGCCAGUGGGAACUCUAAUAUUGAUUGGUUUUCACAGAAUUCCAUGGACUUUAACUGCUGAACCAAUGAUGCACUGAUUUUGUCACUUGUACCAGCUAACGCAUCUGGGAGGCAACAAAACAAUACUCUCCUGAGGUUAAUGUGGACCAAAAACUAGAUUUCAUAUAAAAGAGUUUAUUCCUUCUACUUGAGGUGUGACAUGAAGGAAAGUAAUGGAAAUAAUUCUGCCCUCCCAUUCUCAAGGGCCAGGGGGAAUUCAAAUAUUGAACGGAAGUGAUUUUGGAAUUGCAUGGAAUUCUCACUGCCAUCCCAAAGAAAUGCUGAUCUUGUCACUCUUACCUGUUUCAUUCCCUGGGGGCAGAACAAAAGGACGCACUCCAAAGAUCGGCAUGAACCAAGAACUGGGUUUCAUAUAAAAUAUUUUAUUCUGUCCUCUUGAGAUGUGACAUGAGAAAAGUAUUGAGAAUACUUCUAUCACCUCAUCUUCAAGAAUCCGUAGGAAUUCUCCCAUGGUGGACUUUACGGUUAACCUGAACAGGUCUUGGAAAAAGGACUUUAAACAUUCUCCUGUUCUGUGGAAUAAGUAUACUUUUUUCUGGACAUACACCUUGUCAGUUCCAUGUGAUACUAGAGUUGCAUAGAUUUUUAACCUUUACGCCAAUGAAGAUCUGAGGCAAACAUUGCCCCUUUUUUAGAAGUUUGCAUUUGUCACUGAUAACUGUAAUAAUUGAUCUUGUUGAAAAGCCUGGGAAAUGAAGAUCUGAUAUGUCACUUUUACCGGCUUCCUCAACUGAAAAAGAAUACAAUGAAACACGCUGAGAAUUUUUGUGCUUUCUCAGUCUUGCUGAUGAUCUUUCUAUGGGCCUGAAGCGUGGAGAGUGCCAGAGAGGCUGAUCCUCAGCAGUGUGGCAGAGGAAAGUUGGGUGCGACUAAGGGGUAUGCGGUGCCCACAUGCCACUGGGUCCUCAGCAGUACCACCUGAUUGGAAGUGAUAUUGGUGGAAGACAACAUUUUGCCGCUUGGAAUUCUCACCUCCACACCAAAGAAGUACUGUUUUUGUCAUUUGCACCAGCUUCUUUCUCCAGGAAAGAUCAAAACGAUGCACUGCAAGUGUGAUUGGUCCAGAUAGCUGCCUUAUCCAACUGCCUCCUUUGGACCACUUCAUCAUGGGACAGCUUGAUGCAAUCUACUUGACAAGACCCUGGAACCCCACACCCCUCAUGGAACCAGUGUCCACCUCCCAGUCACAGUGUGACCCCAGGGAACUCUUGCCUGCUUGCUUUAAACCCACCACUUAAAAGUCUCCACAGAAAACCUGUUUGAAUAGUACCCUUGACCCAAUAAGGGCAUUGGCCCCUGGGUGUCUCUCUCUCUCUCUCUCUCUCUCUCUCCCUCUCUCUCCCUCUCUCUCUCUCGCUCCCUGACCUCUGCGUGUGGACUCCAGGCAUGCCAUAUACCCCUCAGGACCUGAAGCAAAAGAAUGAAUUAAAGAAAACUCCAGAGAAUGAGCUGACAACCUACUCCCUGGUCAGUGGCUCUCCAUGCCUACCUGUGGUCUCUUGGACACCCUUGCAGAAGAUGACUUCCUGGGAACUCUUCUGGGAGUGAAUGUUAUCAGCAAAUUCCCAAAACAACACCCCUUAGACAAAAAGCCUCCUCACCUAUGCAUUGCCUAGACCACCCACUAAAGGUGAUGGCCACAAAGAGGUGGAUUUGUUGAGUUGGUGCCAUUCCUUCUACUGCCAGCUUCACCAAAACAAUGACACAGUCUUCCUUCCGCAUGGAGACUCUUCUCUUUCCUGUGUUGCAGUGGAUGCCUCCUGCAGAUAAGAAAUGCUUAACUGAGAAAUGCUCAUGUUGGGAUAUCAUCGAUGAGACUUUAAUUUGGGCAUGGUGACUGUUUCCCUUGCUGCCACUUGACUCAAUCCCAGGAGCCUCAGUAGAGGAUAUAAUAUUACACAAGAUGCUCAAAAUGGUGGAAUUGCUCAGUGCUCCCAUAAAUAUACAUUUAUAAUUUUCAUUUGCCACAUGGUAAACUGAAAAAUACAGACUAUAUUAAAAAGAAACUGCAUGAUUUUUUUUCAAAAAUUCAAAGCAUAUUUAAAUAAUAUAUAAAUUAAAUGCCCUCCUCUCUUCCAAUUCUGUCCCUAUAGUUUUCCUCUAUUAAGUGAACUACAUGCAUUCUUUUAGUGGAUAGAUGCACACAAACACACAAGCCAUUAUGGGGAAGGAUCCACGUGUGUGGCCAUAUUGUAACACAUUUUUCUGCAAAUCACCUCUUUCAUUUAACAGCCCUUAUUCAAUGGCCUUUUUCUUUUUCAGUAGUACAUACACAUCUGUGUCAUUUGUUGAAUGACGACAUGAAUGUUUUGUAGAUAAAAUAUAAUUAAAUGUUUUAAGCAUUUCUCACUCAUAGAUAUUUAUGUUAGCACCAAAUUUCUGUGCAAUGAACCUCCCUAUAUAUCAGUAAUUUUGCAUUUGUCUAUAAUAUCAUAAUAAAUUACUUAUCAGUUGAAUUACUGGGAUUAAGUAUGUGCACACUUUAUAUUUAUAUUUUGAAAAUUAUUGCAAGAUUGCCUUCAAAAAUGUGGUUAACAACUUUAUCUUCAAAUGGCAAUGAAUGAGAUUGCCAGCUUUCCUACAGCCUCACAGACAAUGGAUUUUAUAAAUAUUUAACAUUUUUGCCAAUGUGAUCACCCAAACUAUUGUCUUAAAUUGUAUCUCUUUUGUUUUUGAGUUUGGUCAUUUUUUCAUGUUUAUUAGCCAUCUGUAUUUUUUAAUUUCUUCUUUAUGUCCAAUUUUGUGGGUGGGAGGAGGAUUUAGUCUCUUCCUGAUUUCGAAGAGCUCAUUUACUAUUUCGGGAAAUAAGAUUUGGAUUGUCAACCAUUAUAGCUAUUUUUUACACACUUUUCAACUUUGUUUUUGUUAUAAGAAUGUGUAUGAUUGUUACAUGUCCAAGUAUAACCAUGUUCGCUUUUAUGGCUUCUGAGUUUCAUGUCAUUUUUGGAAAGAUAUAUAUAUUGAGUCCAUAAAACCCUUCACCUAUGUUAAAUUCUAAUUCUUUUGUGUUUUUUUAAUUCAAAUUCUUAAAUCAUGAGAAAUUUUUUUGUUUUGAAAUCUUAAAGUUGCCAAGUUACUUGCCAUUACUUGCGAUUAUUUGCCAAUAAUUGCCCAUUUAUCUGUACCGCCAUCUUGCGCAUAUGCUGUACUCUCAUCUGUGACUGGCUCCAUUUUUGUUCUGUGGAUUUGUGUGUCUCUUCUUCUGCCUCCUGUCUCGUGUCUGCUCGUUGGAAGAAAUUACAGUUUAGACUGCAAUUUCAUCAACUUUAAUAAAUCAAUUGAGGGGAGAAUUGGUUUUUAAAAAUAUUAAGUAAGUCUUCGUAUCCAAGGACAAGGUAUGUCUUUUCUUAUUCAAUAAUUUUAAUUACUGUUAAUAUUUUCACUGUGGUGAUGGGAGUUUUUCUUUUAAUUUAUUUUCUUGUUCAUUUUUUGUAUCUAAAGUUUUUGUUUUGUUUUGUUUUGGGGGUAAGUUGUCACCUUACUGUUUCUUGUUGCUUUUCAGAUUUUUUCAAAGUAUAGACUAAAUCCUUCACAAAUAUUUAAAGUUUUUAUUUUCCCCCUUCAUAUUGAUCCUGAUUUUAGUUAUGUUGACAAAGUCCACAGACUGUUACUAUCAGAACACUUGAACAGUUAUGGAAAUAUUACCUACCCUUGAUUUAAUCAGAGUUUAAUGGUAUGCUUCUUUGGUUUGACUGGCACAUUGUCGCUGGUCAUUUCCUCCCAAAGACCACCAGAAAGAGCUAUGAUCAAGCAAAGCUGAGUUUGUUAAACUUACCUGCAGCAAGGGAAAACACCACCUUGAUAGGGUUUAAUAAUGUUUCAAAAUCAAGAAAUGAGGCUUUGGGGUCUGGGCAGGGAACUAAUUAGAAAUGGGCAAAAUUUGUCAUGCAAUACCUUGUGGGAAAGUGAGAUGAGGUUCUUAAUGUGAGUAUUGAUGGUGAAAUCAUUUUCUAGGUGAGCUGUUUGCCUAUAUAAAGAUGUUAUCAAUGACAGAAGAACUAUUUGCCUAGAUAAACAAACUGAAUUUAUUUAUUGGUUUACAGUUUUAUCUUGCUGGGCAGGACUCUGCUGGGGGUGGUAUCAGGUCUUAUUCCCAAUAGGUAAGUUAUUUGGAUAUGGGUGGUCUUAAUCAUCAAUGUGUAAAAUGCUGAUUUUAAGUGCGAAAUACUUUGUCUACC
rnacentral:lncRNA from 1 species